AUCGCUUCUCGGCCUUUUGGCUAAGAUCAAGUGUAGCUUACAUGACGUUUCCGGCGGAGCUCUCCGAAAUUUUGAUCUCCUUCCUUCAAAAUUGUUCAUCUGCCUUACUUUAUGGUAUAAUCUUGUAGCUAAAAGUCUAGCGAUCAUUUCAAGAAUAUAUUGGUCGAAAUUGGUCUAUUUUUCGCCGAGAAAUCAACGUU